rnacentral:rRNA from 1 species
CACGUAGGGCGCAAGCGUUGUCCGGAAUUAUUGGGCGUAAAGAGCUCGUAGGCGGUCUGUUGCGUCCGCUGUGAAAACUCGGGGCUUAACCCCGAGCCUGCAGUGGAUACGGGCAGACUAGAGGUAGGUAGGGGAGAAUGGAAUUCCCGGUGUAGCGGUGAAAUGCGCAGAUAUCAGGAGGAACACCGGUGGCGAAGGCGGGUCUCUGGGCCGAUACUGACGCUGAGACGCGAAAGCGUGGGGAGCGAACAGG